rnacentral:rRNA from 1 species
GAUGAACGCUGACAGAAUGCUUAACACAUGCAAGUCUACUUGAUCCUACUUCGGUAGUUGAUGGUGGCGGACGGGUGAGUAACGCGUAAAGAAUCUGCCCUUUAGUUCGGGAUAACCUUUGGAAACGAAGGAUAAUACCGGAUAUUAUGGAGACGUCGCAUGACGAUUUCAUGAAAGCUAUAUGCGCUAGAGGAGGACUUUGCGUCCCAUUAGUUAGUUGGUGAGGUAAUGGCUCACCAAGACCGCGAUGGGCAGCCGGCCUGAGAGGGUGAUCGGCCACAAGGGAACUGAGACACGGUCCUUACUCCUACGGGAGGCAGCAGUGGGGAAUAUUGGACAAUGGGCCACAAGCCUGAUCCAGCAAUUCUGUGUGCACGAUGAAGGUCUUCGGAUUGUAAAGUGCUUUCAGUAGGGAAGAAAAAAAUGACGGUACCUACAGAAGAAGCGACGGCUAAAUAUGUGCCAGCAGCCGCGGUAAGAC